AUACGGAGGGCGCAAGCGUUGUUCGGAAUUAUUGGGCGUAAAGCGCGCGUAGGCGGCUCUGUAAGUCGGGUGUGAAAGCCCCGGGCUCAACCCGGGAAUUGCAUUCGAUACUGCAGGGCUAGAGUAUGGUAGAGGGAAGUGGAAUUUCCGGUGUAGCGGUGAAAUGCGUAGAUAUCGGAAGGAACACCAGUGGCGAAGGCGACUUCCUGGGCCAAUACUGACGCUGAGGUGCGAAAGCGUGGGGAGCAAACAGGAUUAGAAACCCGGGUAGUCC
rnacentral:rRNA from 1 species